CAGAGUUCAUGCCCUCACGGGUAGAUCUCCCACCCUUGAAAUCUAUACCUUUGUUGCUUUGGCAGGCCGCGGCCUCCGCUACCGGCUCCGGCUGGUAUGUGCCUGCCAGAGAACCCAACUCUUGUUUUUAGUGAUGUCUGAGUACUAUAUAAUAGUUA
rnacentral:misc_RNA from 1 species